UACGGAGGGUGCAAGCGUUAAUCGGAAUUACUGGGCGUAAAGCGUGCGCAGGCGGUCUACUAAGACAGGUGUGAAAUCCCCGGGCUUAACCUGGGAACUGCGCUUGUAACUGGUAGGCUUGAGUGUGGCAGAGGGGGGUGGAAUUCCAGGUGUAGCAGUGAAAUGCGUAGAUAUCUGGAGGAACACCGAUGGCGAAGGCAGCCCCCUGGGCUAACACUGACGCUCAUGCACGAAAGCGUGGGGAGCAAACAGG
rnacentral:rRNA from 1 species